rnacentral:rRNA from 1 species
UACGUAGGGGGCAAGCGUUGUCCGGAAUUACUGGGCGUAAAGGGCGCGUAGGCGGCCCGCCAAGUCCCGUGUGAAAGCCCCCGGCUCAACCGGGGAACGGCGCGGGAAACUAGCAGGCUUGAGUUCGGGAGAGGGAAGCGGAAUUCCGGGUGUAGCGGUGAAAUGCGCAGAUAUCCGGAGGAACACCGGUGGCGAAGGCGGCUUCCUGGACCGACACUGACGCUGAGGCGCGAAAGCUAGGGGAGCAAACGGG